UACAGAGGGGGCAAGCGUUGUUCGGAAUUACUGGGCGUAAAGGGCGCGUAGGCGCCUUCUAAGUCAGACGUGAAAUCCCUCGGCUCAACCGGGGAACUGCGUCUGAGACUGGAAGGCUUGAAUCCGGGAGAGGGAUGUGGAAUUCCAGGUGUAGCGGUGAAAUGCGUAGAUAUCUGGAGGAACACCGGUGGCGAAGGCGGCAUCCUGGACCGGUAUUGACGCUGAGGCGCGAAAGCCAGGGGAGCAAACGGG
rnacentral:rRNA from 1 species